rnacentral:lncRNA from 1 species
CCUUGGUCCAGGGUUGGGAGCGCCGAUUAGUGCCCCAAAGUCUGGCUUCUAACGGUCCAGGCCCUGUGGGCCCUACAGAGUUAGCCUGCCUUCCAGUCCUGGCCCCACUGUGCAGGACUCAGAGGACACCCCGGCCGCAGACGCCACCGCCAGCCUUGGGGGGGUGCCCAGUUUUCAGCUCUCCCUUGCUUCCGAGCCUUCACCCUUGGACUGGAGCUACAUCAUCCACUCUCCUGGGUCUCCAUCCUGCCCACUCACCCUGCAGAACUUGGGACUCGUCAGCCUCCGCAAUCAUUCCAGGAGGGGACCAGAAAAUCUGAUGAAGAAAACCCAUCAGAGAGCCUUGACCCGG